GGCUGCUGGCUGCCCACAGCCAGACAUCCCUGCAGGAAUUCCACCACGAGGGUCCCGAGGAUGGGAAGUCCCAGGAAAAGAAGAACUGGUGCCAUGUGGCUCACGUGUUCCACGACUACGGCCCGGGAGUGCGUUAUGUCCAUUUCCAGCACCGGAGCCUGGACGCAGAGACGCCGGGCUGGCGCCGCACCCGAGUGACGGACAGCAGCGUUUCCGUGCAGCUGCGGGACUGACGGACAGGCUGGCAGCCGGGGUGCGGGGCAGGGUGCGUUUCAAUCCCUCCUGUUCAAAGGCCAGAGCUGAAUUCACUGCGGGAAGAGAGUCCUGUCCUUGGCUCGCUGCCCCGUGCUGGGGGGCAAAGCUGGGACUGUGAGAGGCCUGUCAGGUCAGCCUGACUGCUUGGAUAGCUCCCAAGAGAAGCCAUUCGUAUAGGUAGUGGGGCUAGUGGUUACAGCAAUGGGGGGGCUUGGGAGCCAGGAUCCUGGGAAUCUAUUUCUGUCUCUGGAGGGGUGGGGGCGGUGGGAUCUAGGUGUUAGAGAAUGGGAGGAGUUAUUAGGACUCCUGGGGUCCGUGGAUUGCACGUCUGAUUCCUAUUUGGUCUGUGACACUGGGUCAAGGCGCUGCAGGGAUGUGCCUCGGUUUCCCCUGUUGCAACUUUCAGGGGACCUACAUUUGAGGUGUGACCUGGGUAGUGGCAUUAAAGAUUGUCUGGUGUUUUCUGGGA